AGAGAGAGAGAGAGAGAGAGAGAGAGAGAGAGAGAGAGAGAGAGAGAGAGAGAGAGAGAGAGAGAGAGAGAGAGAGAGAGUGUGUUGUGUAGCUUAGCAUGGAAAACAAGAGGUAAUUAGUCUAGAGUAACCUUAAGACGGAGCUUCCACAUAUCUUUUCCAUGCUACAGCUGGCCGUGGGUGGCUGAGUGUGUUGGGAAGGGAACCAGUCGUAUAAAAUUGAGAAGUUGGCGUGUAAACCAUUGACCCCUUCAGUACUGGGAUGCAUUUUUUUUUUUACCUUGAGUUUUGGGUGUGAUUAAACAAUUUUAUUGACAUUAGGAAGGGUCUAUGGAGGGCAGAAGAUUAAUGGCUAGAGUCUUCACUAUUUCAACCCUACAUAAGUUCCUGAAGCUGUAUAAAAUCGGCAAGAUAGAAUGAAUAUGAAAAAAAUGUGUCCUAGUACUGAAGGAGUUAGUGGAUUUCGAAGACAUUGCAUUAUUGUUCAGCCAUUUGAUGAGUAACUUUUCUGAGAACCAUCGAGUCGUUUUUUUAGGCGAAUUGGAAAGACAGUGUAAAAAUUAGAUGUACAGUUGUUAGAAAGGGAAAGUAGAAGUAGUAGGUUCGUGUUCAGAGAAAGACGUACAAUCAAGGAAACAAGAGAUGGUGAAAUGAGGGACACUGUACAUAGAUUGAGAGAAUUGAGUAUCAGUGGCUUGUGUGAGGGAAGUGUGAGCAUCAUAAUGUGUCUGGUGCUUCGAGUGACAAAUUUGUAUGUAGCACUAGAGACAGAGUAAGGUGACACAAAUAUGCUGGUGAUCCUGGUGAUAAAGUGACAUGACAAUCAGUGUAUGAGUGAGGGAUGAGAGGCAGUGGAUAAGCCAAGCCAGGUCAAGCCAAGCCAAGCCAAACAGUCAGUCACCAGCACAUUAACAUUAGUCAGUUUUUUGGUAUAAUUAAACAGAAAGAAAUUGUAACUUCUGGUAACUUUGCAUUGGUGUUUUGGUGAAGGUGGAAGUGAUGCGGUGUAGUGGUGGUGGUGGUGGUGGUGGUGUCAGUGAGUCAGGGAAGCAAUGAAUGGCCAUCACUGUUAACUUGAUUAAUCUUUAAGGGAACUGGCUAUCAAGUGGGCCAUUUUUUUAUUUAUUUAUUUUAUUUUUUGUUGCCCUUGGCCGACUUUCCCGUCAUGCAUAAAAAAAAAAAAAAAUGAAAAUGGUGGCUUUUUCGUAACAAAUAUUUGAGUUGAAGGUUGUGUCGCUAAGAAAUAAUGAAGUAAAGGAGUGUUUUUAUUUUAUUCACUAAUUAUUUUUUAUGUAAGAAAGACAUCAGUGGAAAAAAGAAAGUUGCAGAGCUUAGAAAUGGUGAAGUGAACAAGUAUUUUUAUUAUCAUUUUAUUUAUUUAUUUUUUCAUGUAAGAGAGACAUUA